rnacentral:rRNA from 1 species
UACGUAGGUGGCAAGCGUUGUCCGGAUUUACUGGGCGUAAAGAGCGCGCAGGCGGUCGUGCAAGUCGCGUGUGAAAGCCCCCGGCUCAACUGGGGAGGGUCACGCGAUACUGCUCGACUCGAAGGCAGGAGAGGGAAGUGGAACUCCCGGUGUAGUGGUGAAAUGCGUAGAUAUCGGGAGGAACACCAGUGGCGAAGGCGGCGACCUGGGCAGAUACUGACACUGAGGUGCGAAAGCGUGGGGAGCAAACAGG